AACGAACGCUGGCGGCAUGCCUAACACAUGCAAGUCGAACGAGACCUUCGGGUCUAGUGGCGCACGGGUGCGUAACGCGUGGGAACCUGCCCUUAGGUUCGGAAUAACUCCCCGAAAGGGGUGCUAAUACCGGAUAAUGUCUUCGGACCAAAGAUUUAUCGCCUUUGGAUGGGCGCUCGUUGGAUUAGCGAGUUGGUAGGGUAAAAGCCUACCAAGGCGACGAUCCAUAGCUGGUCUGAGAGGAUGAUCAGCCACACUGGGACUGAGACACGGCCCAGACUCCUACGGGAGGCAGCAGUGGGGAAUAUUGGACAAUGGGCGAAAGCCUGAUACAGCAAUGCCGCGUGAGUGAUGAAGGCCUUAGGGUUGUAAAGCUCUUUUACCCGGGAUGAUAAUGACAGUACCGGGAGAAUAAGCUCCGGCUAACUCCGUG
rnacentral:rRNA from 1 species